rnacentral:rRNA from 1 species
AUUGAACGCUGGCGGCAGGCCUAACACAUGCAAGUCGAGCGGAUGAAGGGAGCUUGCUCCUGGAUUCAGCGGCGGACGGGUGAGUAAUGCCUAGGAAUCUGCCUGGUAGUGGGGGAUAACGUCCGGAAACGGGCGCUAACACCGCAUACGUCCUGAGGGAGAAAGUGGGGGAUCUUCGGACCUCACGCUAUCAGAUGAGCCUAGGUCGGAUUAGCUAGUUGGUGGGGUAAGGGCCUACCAAGGCGACGAUCCGUAACUGGUCUGAGAGGAUGAUCAGUCACACUGGAACUGAGACACGGUCCAGACUCCUACGGGAGGCAGCAGUGGGGAAUAUUGGACAAUGGGCGAAAGCCUGAUCCAGCCAUGCCGCGUGUGUGAAGAAGGUCUUCGGAUUGUAAAGCACUUUAAGUUGGGAGGAAGGGCAGUAAGUUAAUACCUUGCUGUUUUGACGUUACCAACAGAAUAAGCACCGGCUAACUUCGUG